rnacentral:rRNA from 1 species
AGUGAACGCUGGCGGUAGGCCUAACACAUGCAAGUCGAACGGCAGCACAGUAAGAGCUUGCUCUUACGGGUGGCGAGUGGCGGACGGGUGAGGAAUACAUCGGAAUCUACUUUUUCGUGGGGGAUAACGUAGGGAAACUUACGCUAAUACCGCAUACGACCUACGGGUGAAAGCAGGGGAUCUUCGGACCUUGCGCGAUUGAAUGAGCCGAUGUCGGAUUAGCUAGUUGGCGGGGUAUAGGCCCACCAAGGCGACGAUGCGUAGCUGGUCUGAGAGGGUGAUCCGCCACACUGGAACUGAGACACGGUACAGACUCCUGCGGGAGGCAGCAGUGGGGAAUAUUGGACAAGGGGGGCAAGCCUGAUACAGCCAUACCGCGUGGAUGAAGAAGGACUUCGGGUUGUAAAGCCAUUUUGUUGGGAAAGAAAAGCAGCAGGUUAAUACCCCGCUGUUCUGACGGUACCCAAAGAAUAAGCACCGGCUAACUUCGUG